rnacentral:lncRNA from 1 species
UUUAGAGUAAGUUCUCUGUUCUGAAGCCUUGGCACAGGCUGACAUCCUUCUUACAUAUUUUACUGAAUUGCAGAUGUGAAACUGGUGCCCUUUCCUGUGAAGCUAACCACAGCACUGGCCCAAGAGUCACAGAAGAUAAAGGAAGAGACCCAAGAGGAGUUGGACGAGCAAGUCCUGCUGCUGCUGCAGACGCUGCACACACUGGUCUAGGAUUUUGAGAAACUGAAGGAGGAGAUCCAGCUGUUGCUGGAGUGACUGUCAGCUGGCCCUGCUCCACUUAGACAAGGCUGGAGUGGCAUCAUCUCAGCU